rnacentral:rRNA from 2 species
GAAUUUGAUAUAUUUUUAUUUAUAAAAUUUAUGAAAUAAAAUAAAAAUAAAAGUAUAUUUUAUUGGGAGGAUAGUUAAAUAUUAAUAACUUUAAAUAAAAAUAUUUAAUAUAAAUUAGUAAAUUAAAGAGUGGUUAAUAAAUUAAUUAAGAAUUAAUUACCUUAGGGAUAACAGCGUAAUAUUUUUGGAGAGUUCAUAUUGAUAAAAAUGAUUGC